rnacentral:rRNA from 1 species
CGCUGGCGGCAGGCUUAACACAUGCAAGUCGAACGAUAUAGUGGCAGACGGGUGAGUAACGCGUGGGAACCUACCUUAUUCUACGGAAUAACAGUUAGAAAUGACUGCUAAUACCGUAUACGCCCUUCGGGGGAAAGAUUUAUCGGAGUAGGAUGGGCCCGCGUUGGAUUAGCUAGUUGGUGGGGUAAUGGCCUACCAAGGCGACGAUCUAUAGCUGGUCUGAGAGGAUGAUCAGCCACACUGGGACUGAGACACGGCCCAGACUCCUACGGGAGGCAGCAGUGGGGAAUUUUCCGCAAUGGGCGAAAGCCUGACGGAGC